CAGGGAGCCCGAUGCGGGACUCGAUCCAGGGCCUCCAGGAUCAUGACCUGAGCCGAAGGCAAUCGCUUAACCAACUGAGCCACCCAGGCGCCCUAGGGAAACACUUCUGUUCACGAGGGGAAUGUUCAAAGCAGCAUCAUGAAAACUAAAAUCUGGGGACAACUCAAGUGCCCAUCAAGAGUGGAAUGUGAGGGGCGCCUGGGUGGCUCAGUCGGUUAAGCGUCUGCCUUCGGCUCAGGUCAUGAUCCCAGGGUCCUGGGAUCGAGCCCCACAUCGGGCUCCUUGCUCAUUGGGGAGCCUGCUUCUUCCUCUCCCUCCGCUGCUCCCCCUGCUUGUGCGCGCUCGCUCUCUCCCUCCCUCUCUGUCAAAUAAAUAAAAAUCUUAAAAGAGUGGAAUGUGAAACUAACGUGAUACCUACAGACAAGGAGAGGCAGAAAUUACAGCCACAAGCAAGAACAUGAGGUGGAGCCACAUCAGAAUAGGGGGCCAUGACUCCGCAAAUCCACUCCUAGGAGUAGAUCCAAAAGAUCUGGAAGCGGCGAGUCAAAUAGAUCCUUGUAGGGAAAUGUUCAGAGCGGCCCUGUCGACAGGAGCCCCAAGGUGGAAACAACCCAAAUGUCCAUCCGAGGACAGACGGAUGGAUGGAUGGAUGGUGGUCUCUCCAUACAACGGAAAAAUAAUCAGCCUAACAAGAGUGAACCGCUGACCCGUGCUACGGCAGGGAUGAACCUUGAUCACGUCAUGCUGAGUGGAAGAAGCCAGACACGUAUUUCGGAAAAUUAUGAGAAAAUAGAAGAUACAUGGACGUGUUAAUUAACUGGAUGUAGGCUCCAUGCCCAACGCAGGGCUCAAACUCGACCCUAAGAUCAAGAGUCGCAUGCACCACAGACCAAGCCAGGCAGGUGCCCCUGUUCUAUUUCUUAACCUGGGUGGCACCCGAGUCCAGGCCCUACACGCACAGGAGACGUUGAGCAUAAUGGUGCUUUGGGUGCUCACGCCAACCCUGGGGAAGGUCACCCGACAGGAGCCGUAAGCGGGUGUAGAGUUGCUCCCGCCCACCCCGGGGAAGGAGAAGGAGCAGGGCACGUGGACACACAGACCCUCCUGCACCGUCACUGAGUCCUGCACUCGGAGCUUGAACCCUGGAUCCUCCUGCAGGGA